rnacentral:rRNA from 1 species
AGAGUUUGAUCAUGGCUCAGGAUAAACGCUGGCGGCGUGCCUAACACAUGCAAGUCGAACGCCCUGUUUCGGCAGGGAGUGGCGGACGGGUGAGGAACACGUGGGUACCUACCCUUUAGUGAGGAAUACCGGCAAGAAAUCGCCGACAAGACCGCAUACGUUUCUUCGGAAAGAAAGCUCGCAAGAGCGCUGAAGGAUGG